UUUUUUUUUUUUUUUUUUUUUUUUUUUCUUUUCUUGGUGUUUAAAAAUUUGAAUGCAUUUGACUCUGGUGAUGACCAUGGAUCAAUACAUGAUUCCAGACCAUAGGUUGCUUAUCUUCUUCUUUUCUUUUUUAUUCUGUUGAUAUAAAAAUAUUGAAUUUGUCUCGGAACAUGACUUUGGACAGUAGAUUGCUUAUGACAAGUUAGCAAUUUAGGGGUGGUAAUUUUCGACACGACCUGAAAACACGACACAAACCUAACACAAAAUUAAUAGGUUUUGGUUGAGAUUUUGGGAAUUCGGGUCAGAAUCGGGUUGAACCCGAUAAACCGGAAAAGAAAACAAGUUUAUUUCGGGUCAACUCGUGGUGACCUGAUAUAACCCGAUAUGACCCGUUUACGAAUUAAAAAUAAUUUAAUUAACAUAAAAAUAAUUUUAUCUAACUAAACUAAGUUAUUCUUUUUUUCAAAGGCAUUAAUUACUUAAUCCUAAAUGAAUUUAUUUAAUUUGUGUGAAGUUGAAAUUAUUAUAUUUGGACAAAUAAUAUAUUAUAUUAUUUUUUACUUUUAUACUGUUUUAAUUUAUUUUAUAUGUUGUUUGGGAUAAAACACUUUUACGGUGUUUAAUUUAUUUUAGAUUUGGUUUGAAUUAUUUAUUUAAAUUUUUAUUACUUGAGUAUGUAAUUAGUUUUGUGAGAAAUUAAUUUUAUUAGAAAUUACAGUGAUAAAUUAAAAUUAAAUUUCGGAUCAUUUCGAGUCGACCUGCCAACCCGUUAACCUGAAAUUUUCGAGUUCGGGCCAAUAUACCUGACCCGUCACGGAUUGGCGGGUCAGAUUCGAGUAAAUAGAUUCCGAUCCGCCAACCUGAUUUGGACCCGAAUUGCCACCCUAGUUAGCAUGUUAGGGCAUUAUAUCCCGAAACCAUAGGUUAGUAGGUCAGUGCAUUAUACCAUGAAGUGCUGGCAAUUCUUAUAAAUACCCAUUGGAUCAUGGGUUAGUUCAUAGAAGGUUGGCAUGUCAGGGCAUUAUUAUACCCACCAACAAAAAGUUUUAACCAGUGAGCGAGAGUGGAACACAUUAAUAAUAAUAUAUAACUUUUGCGGAGAAAGUAACUUGAUUUUACCAACUAAGCUAAACUGAGUUGACCUACCCGUCUUUUGUAUUGAUGAUGAAGAAUAGAAGGUCACAAGGUUAGGAGAUUCUUCCGUCUGUUUGAGGUAUUAUACUUUAAGAUUAAUCUCACUAUUAAAUUGUAAAAUAAGUAUUUUUUUUUUUACCUUAAAUUGCAAUAAUUUGAAUUAUUUAAAAUACCGAUCAUUAUUGCAAUGCCCAAAUCAGAUUCCCUCUCACCGUAACAGGAAGCUGCCCAGAAAAAAUGAAAAAAAAAAGCUGCGUGUAUUAUAUAUACGACCUUAAAAGGGUUUUCUUUUUCUUCCCCUUUAAAGGAAAAUGUCAGUUUUCCUCUAAAAAAAAAAAAAAGAAGUUAGUUCUGAAUUAAUUUUUUUACUUUAGCUUUUUUGUUGUUAAAGGAUUUAUUAUUCUAUAAAACCGUCUUUUUGUUUUCACAAAAAAUAUUCUCAUAUAGUAGUUAUACUAAUGUUGUCAAAUUAGAAAUAUUAAAAUCCUAUAGGCUUACCCUUGUUACAAUUUACAAAUAACAAAAAAGGUUUAUAAAACAACCCGGAAAGAAGAAAACUGAAAGGGGAAGGUAACGAUUCUUCCUUUUUCUUUUGAAGAAGAUGAAAGAAACCAAUUUAUCAGACAACAAAAUUGCCGUAGACCAACUCACAUCAUGUUUUAGAACCCCCCAAAAAAAAAAAAAAUAACUGAUAUCAUGUUUUAAAUUUUUUCAAAAAAAAAAAAGUUCUUGCCCAUUAUUCAGAGAUCAAUCAAAUAAUCUUACCCAGUCAUUCUCUUUAUCAUACAAUAAUUCCAUUUUUUUUUCCCAUGCAUUCUCCUUCAAAUCUUAACCCAACUAUUUGUGUCUCCACCUUACACAUAAUGGAGUAUUUCUUGUUCACUUUUGCAGUGCUAUUGAAUGACAAACCUUUUCCAGUUCUCUCUCCUUUUUUUUUACAAAGAAAACCACAAAAAUAAAGAAAGGUGCAAUUUGGUAGGGUCUAAACCUUUUUUUUUUUUUUUGGGUUUUCCUAAAGGCAGGUCUAGACGGUUUUUGUCUAGCCUGAUGGAUAGUGUAACAGUGCAGCUCCGGCCAUUGCACGUUCCGCACUGGUCAAACCCCCAUUUCGUCUACUUAACGGCCGUCGUUUUCCACUGCUAAAUCCACUUUGCUAUUUAUUCCAAGGUCGUUUUCACCGUAACUAGUUGGGAGCGCUGCCGGCGUUGGACGGCGCUCAUUUCGAGCCUUUUCUCGCGGUAAUGAGAGGGGUUUCAAGCCUUGAAGUCUAAGCCACGUCUGUCUGGCGCGUAAGCAAGCAGUAAUCAAUAUAUGGAAUGCCGAAGGCGAUCGCCGAUUGGGACGUGUUCGCCUGCGUCAAAUACAACACUUGGAAACUGGAUCUGCAACACCUUUUCUUAUUAGUUCGAAGGGAUAAUUUCGCAAACGUCCCCUGAGGUUUCUCAUAAUUACAACGAGCUCCCUACAAAUUUUAAAAAUUAUAUAUAUUUGCCACCAUAAAAAAAACACACACACACACACACAAAAUCCCAUUGACAACCAAUUUUAUACCUCCAAAUUAAAUAUCAAUGCUCAAAUACCUUUUCAAUAUAAGUUAAUUUGACAUAGAACCACAAUUACAACUCUCAUAUGGCCUUAAAAAUAUUAAUAUCUCAAAAAUAAAGAAUAAAUUCUACCUCCACAAUAAAAUCAUAACAAAAAAUUUCUAAUCCAAUGAAAGAAAUCAUUAUGUAAUUAUUGACAUUUUAUAAAAAAUUUUCUUAACAACAAACAAAAUAUGUUAAAUUUCACAUCUUUAGUUUUUCUUCCUAUUUCAAUCAUCAAUUUCAUUAUCUAUUUGUCUAUCACUGCGAGUCUUUUCAUUUUCUUCUAGUUUGAUGCAUAAUUUACUCCGUUUGUAGAUUUUGUAAUUCCAAUUUACUAAAAUCCACAAAAUUGAAGAUAAUAAAAAUAGGUUAUAUUAAUUAAAAAAUAGACAAGAGACAGAAAAAUAGAUUUUUUUUAGGUUCUGUAAAUUUAUUGCCUUAAAUUUAAAAUUGUCUACUAAGUGGCGGGCAUUGUAGGUAUUUUACUAUAUCAAGAAGGUAAGUGUAAUAUCUUAAAUCUGAAGAGAACCGAGUGAAAUUGUCAGAACCUGAAGGGAGGUUUAUGAAGUUAUCCGUAUUUCGAAUCCUAAUUUCAAUAGUUUCUAUCUUUUGAGUUUAUUUGAAAGGGGGAAAAAAAAUCCGUUUCAUUGAGGACCGCUGACAUAGGGGAAAAAGGAAAAUGGAGUUAAAUUACACAUUUUAUAAAUCCAUAUCUACUAUAGAAGAGCACAAUUUUCCUUGAUGUCGAACCUCUACUGUUUGGAUUGUAAGUUAUUUGGGAUUAUUUGAGAUAUUUUUAUUGUAACACUUUUUGUGAUGUGAUGUAUGUGAGAUAAAAAGAUAUUGGGAAGAUAAAAAGGUGUAUUGGAAAUUGUAAAGAUGAUGUAAGCAAAUAAAAUUGGGAAAAUAUGAACCAAUCCAAACAAACCAUAUAAUAUUGUCUUUGUAAAUAUUAUCCGCUGAGUUUGGACUGGACGGGAAUUGGGUUCCAUUGAAGCUCCCUUUUAUCUUAGCUACAAAUUAUAGAAUGAAUUGCCAUUUGGUACAAGUUUGUCCAAGUUGCUCGAUAAAUUAAGCAAAAGCCUUAAUUUUCAUAAUUUCGGUUUACGGCAUGACAUGAUGGACGAAAAUAAGGCAGUGAAACUUGUUAAUUACCUAUGCCACUUCACUUAUAGCCGGGUCCUGGAGUUCUAAAAACUUAUUAGAUGCAGUUGUUUGAAAUAAUUUAGGGUCCAUUUGGGUAGUGUGUUUUUGAGGUAUCUGUAUAAAAUUUUAUUAUAACUUGUUGUAAAAUUCAUUAAAAAAAAAAAAACUUGUAUGUAUGUGGUAUUUGGAAAAUUUGGUAUUUUUUUUCCUUUUAUUUUUCUUGCCUUCUUGUUCAUCUUCACACCACUGCUACUCUUCCUCUGCCACCUUCGCCGUCGCCGCUACCACCUCCAUCUCACCUUAUUUCUCUCUCUUUCUCCUCCUACUCCUUCCCACCCUCCCCUCCUUUUUUCCUCUCCCCCAUUUUUCCUUUCCCUCCCUGGCACCCUCAUCCCUCUUCCUCACACAUAUGAGGAAAAGGUGGUGGCAAUCACGAUGAGGGUGGUCGGCUGAGACGGUAGUAUAGUAAUAGAAAAAGAAAAUGAAUAUGUGCUUUUUUGAGUAUUUUAGAAGAUAUAAUAUAUAUUUUAAUAACGCUGUGGUGUUUUUAAAUGUUACUACAGACAAAUUCGUUAAAAAACUUAUAUAUAUAAUAAAAAGACCCAAUAAACUAGAGGGUAUCAAACACACCCAUAAAUAUUAACACAAAAACUUGAGUGUGGAAGUGUUUAUUCAAGAGCUCUAUCAAAUUUUCAAACAUUUCUUUAAGAGCAAGCUCUACCAUACAACAACAAUCUGUUAAGAAGAUGUGUUUCUCCUUCAUUACCACCAUCUAUUAACAGAAGAUGUGAUGCAUGUGAAUCAAUUUACAUCAAAAUGGAUUCAAUAAACAAAACCCCAUUUGUGAUGUUAAGAAGGCCCAGGAAACCCUAAAACUUCGUUAUGCGUUCCCAGAAAUUAAAAAACUUGCCAGUUCAUUUCAUUCGGCUGGAAGUGCUUUUCAUCCCUGCAUUCGCUGUUUCAAAAUUUGGAUCAAAAGCACCAAACUCGCUUUACUGCUACAAGCACAAGCGGCUUGCUUCGCACUUGCGUAACAAAUCUUCCAAACAUUUUUGGCGCCGAAAGACGGUCCAUUGGCACACCGACGUUAUCUUCACUUCUGGAUUAAAAUCUCUAUUCUCUAUUGACGAUUCAGAUUCGACGGCAAAAGCUUCUUUCUGGAUCACGACUUGCCCCCCAAGCUUCAUCUGUAUUACGUACGGGUCCUCUAUACAUGUCCGUG
rnacentral:lncRNA from 1 species